rnacentral:rRNA from 1 species
UACAGGGGGUGCAAACGUUGCUCGGAAUCAUUGGGCGUAAAGCGCACGUAGGCGGUCUGUUAUGUCGGAUGUGAAAGCCCUUGGCUUAACCGAGGAAGUGCAUCCGAAACUGGCAGGCUAGAGUACUAAAGAGGGUCGCGGGAUUCCCGGUGUAGAGGUGAAAUUCGUAGAUAUCGGGAGGAACACCAGUGGCGAAGGCGGCGAUCUGGGAACAUACUGACGCUGAGGUGCGAAAGCGUGGGGAGCAAACAGG